UACGUAGGGUGCAGGCGUUAAUCGGAAUUACUGGGCGUAAAGCGUGCGCAGGCGGUUUGCUAAGACAGGUGUGAAAGCCCCGGGCUUAACCUGGGAACUGCGCUUGUUACUGGCAGGCUUGAGUGUGGCAGAGGGGGGUGGAAUUCCACGUGUAGCAGUGAAAUGCGUAGAGAUGUGGAGGAACACCGAUGGCGAAGGCAGCUCCCUGGGAUAACACUGACGCUCAUGCACGAAAGCGUGGGGAGCAAACAGG
rnacentral:rRNA from 1 species